CAAGGAAGGGGCUGUGCUGAGGACACAGGAGUACUAGUGCCUCCCUGGGUACCAUGAGAGGGGGCAACAGAGGAGUCAGACACACAUGCACAAAUACAGAAAAGCACAGCUGAGACUGAGAAGGAGCAAGAGGAGGAGAGUCAGGGAGGCUGAGAGGCUAAACAACCAAAAAAGCAGAGUUCAGAGAAAGUUGACUGCACUGUGAAAAGCUGAGUGUGAUUUUAUUUGGGAGCAUGCCUCUGGUGUUUUUCAAGGCUAUAUUUUCAUAUUUAUCAGGCCCUCACAUCAGUUCAAACAUAAAUGUAAGAGGGUGAAAGUGUUGAAAGCAUGGUUUUCUCUUCCCCCAUGAGGAUGGCCUUGUCCUGAAAAUCCACCACUUGGGAAUUGGCCAGCUCUGACUAGGUUGAGAUCUCAGGGUCUGAGGAGGCUGUCAAGCCUCUGCCUCAAGUUCUUGAGCAUAAUCCCAACAUCUGGGACAUUAGCAACCUUCCUGUAUGCCAAGAAAGUAGCUGGAUUAGCCAGAGUCUGUCUUGA
rnacentral:lncRNA from 1 species